GCUGUUCUGGCCGAGUGGUCUAAGGCGCUGCGUUCAGGUCGCAGUCCUCUCAGGAGGGCGCAGGUUCAAAUCCUGCGGACAGCA
rfam:Caenorhabditis tropicalis strain JT1373 unplaced genomic scaffold Scaffold519, whole genome shotgun sequence.